rfam:Ramazzottius varieornatus DNA, contig: Scaffold002, strain: YOKOZTNA-1.
GGUGACGUGGCCGAGUGGUCUAAGGCGCUGGUUUCAGGUACCAGUCUACUUUGUAGGCGAGGGUUCGAAUCCCUCCGUCAUCA